UACGGAGGAUGCAAGCGUUAUCCGGAUUUAUUAGGUUUAAAGGGUGUGUAGGCGGAUGUAUAAGUCAGUGGUGAAAGUCAGCAGCUUAACUGUAGAAUUGCCAUUGAUACUGUAUGUCUUGAGUGUGGUUGAGGUAUGCGGAAUGUGUAAUGUAGCGGUGAAAUGCAUAGAUAUUACACAGAACACCGAUUGCGAAGGCAGCAUGCUAAGCCACAACUGACGCUGAUGCACGAAAGCGUGGGGAUCGAACAGG
rnacentral:rRNA from 1 species